UUUUCACAUAAUUUAAUAUCUAUGACUUAAUUAAAUAUAUCCUAUCAAUACUCUCUAUCCAAAGAUGCUAUUGAAAUAAUCAGUGUGUUUCUGCAAUGGCUUUGGUCAUACACCAUUGUUCUUUAGGUUUUGUCAGCAUUUUCAUUAAAAAGUUGUACUCUAUUUAUAACUUGGAAGCAAAAAUGCAUUCUGGGCUAAAACUUAACAUCUAAAAUCUUUGUCCAAAAGCAGUUUUCUAAAGUAAACACAGAAUGGAAGUCUUAUGACUCUCAGAAAGCUUGAGGUCUUUUGGAAGAUCUAUAAGAAACCAGCAAAGAAUCAAAUUUAUUAUUCUCUCUUGUGCACCAGGAAAGCAUGCUGAAUCUGGAAGGAAACCAGGCUGUGGAAGGAAAUGCAGUUCAUUCUGUCACUGAGCUGAAGAAUUGGGGUUCUUAGGUUUUAUUCUUGGUUAUACCCCUUGAAGCACACUAGAACAAGCAUGAAUUUUGGAGUCACUCAGAACUGGGUUAAAAUUCUAUCUUCACUGCUUAUAUCAUUUGGGAAAUUUCUUGAAGUCUUUGCAUCAUCUGUGUGGAUUAAAUGAGAUGACCUAUGUAAAAGUCCAGUACACUGUUCAUUAUCUUCUCUACAACAUAUAGUGUAGUUUGAAGAUAUUUACUUGUUUUUCCUUUGUUGAUUAGCAUACCUAUUCUGAGAAUUUGUUUUUAAAGGAAUGUUUUCUCUUAAAUUUAUGUUGACCAAACAAAAAUAUUAAUUCAAAUAAACAAUACAACUAACUCUAUACCACCCAGAAAAUGACAAAAUAUUAUACAGAGUAUAAAGGCAGCUCACUUAACUUUAGAAUAGAUAGAAAGUCACUGUCUUUCUCUUCCCAGUCCCCAGCCUAGGGGCAUUCAUUGCCUUUUUGUAGCCUUAUCCUGUGGAAACAGAAUAAAAUAAAACUAUUUCAGUCAACAUGAGCAGGAAUCUGGUAGGCCUGUGGCAGAAGAGAGCCUUUGGCAACAGAAAUGUGGCCUCUUAUAGGACACAGGAAAACAUUCUUUUUGCUAUGGUCUAUCUUGUUCCCAGAACUGUUCUUUUCCAAUAGCUAGUUCAUCAUCAUAGCAUAUGUUAUUUAAAUAGCCUGAGUACAUGGCUCAUAACCAUUAUUCUUUCUGCUUAUCCAAAUCUGUUUAUUUAUCUAUCUUUCUUUUCUCAUUAAUUAAUUUAAUAAGUACUUACUACUGUUUUCCAGCCACUGUCCUUGUUCCUAUAGAUUCAUAUACUAUAAGAAAACAUUCCGUGUUCUCAAAGAGGAAGCAGCAAUCAGUUAAAUAAUUGCACUGGUGAAGAUAAAGAUAUAAUUUUGAUCCUAUAGGUGAAUCAUACAAGUUCUGGAUGUGCUGAAGUGGCUGGGGAAAAUUUCCAGAGGCAUAUGGUACAUUAGGGGCAAAGUGACUGAAGUAUUGGAGCAUUUGCCUGGGGAAGAGCUUGUAAGAAGGAAUGGAUUGAGAUGACAGAGAGCAAAACUGUUGGGGAAGAUAAUGAGUUUCAAGAAAUGUGGAUUCUCAACACAACAAGAGUUACGAAAAAUUGUGCUGUGAAUUGAUAACUAUGAAUGCAAUCCACUAUUGUCAUGUAUGUAAGAAAUAAUAAAAAAUAAAUUUGUCAAAUUUUUA